GGUUCCAUAAAGUAGUGGUUAACACGUCUGCUUUACAUGCAGAAGGUCCUGGGUUUGAGCCCCAGCAGAGCCA
rfam:Pteropus alecto contig168327, whole genome shotgun sequence.